UACGUAGGGACCAAGCGUUGUUCGGAUUUACUGGGCGUAAAGGGCGCGUAGGCGGCGUGACAAGUCACUUGUGAAAUCUCCGGGCUUAACCCGGAGCGGCCAAGUGAUACUGUCGUGCUAGAGUGCGGAAGGGGCUACUGGAACUCUCGGUGUAGCGGUGAAAUGCGUAGAUAUCGAGAGGAACACCUGCGGCGAAGGCGGGUAGCUGGGCCGACACUGACGCUGAUGCGCGAAAGCCAGGGGAGCGAACGGG
rnacentral:rRNA from 1 species